ensembl:snRNA U6 U6 spliceosomal RNA
GCUGACUUCAGCUGUACAUAUAAUUGGCAUAAUACAGAGAUUAGUAUGGCCCCUGCCCAAGGAUAACACGCAAAUUCGUGAAGCAUUAUAUAUUUUU